rnacentral:rRNA from 1 species
AGUGAACGCUGGCGGUAGGCCUAACACAUGCAAGUCGAACGGCAGCACAGUAAGAGCUUGCUCUUACGGGUGGCGAGUGGCGGACGGGUGAGGAAUACAUCGGAAUCUACUUUUUCGUGGGGGAUAACGUAGGGAAACUUACGCUAAUACCGCAUACGACCUACGGGUGAAAGCAGGGGAUCUUCGGACCUUGCGCGAUUGAAUGAGCCGAUGUCGGAUUAGCUAGUUGGCGGGGUAAAGGCCCACCAAGGCGACGAUCGGUAGCUGGUCUGAGAGGAUGGACAGCCAGAUUGGAAGAGAGACACGGCAGAGACACUUACAGGAGGACGCAGUGGGGAAUCUUGCACGAUGGGGGAAAGCGUGAUACAGCAAUACCGGGUGGGGGAUGAAGGAGUUAUGGUUGGAGAGUGAUGUAGUCGUGAGAGAAAAGCAGCAGUUUUAUCCGGGGUGGUAAUGACGGUACCCGAAGAAUAAGCACCGGCUAACUUCGUG